UGUUAAAUAUCAAAAUGAAUGAUAUUUGAAAAAUUGAAAUGUGUUAAUAAAUUAGGUAAAAAUUGGAUGAGAAAAUGAUGAGUAACGCCAGCUUUCGCACAUCACUAACACUUGAAAAGUCACUUCAAUAAUAUUAAUGUUUUGUGGAUUAAUUAUCAUUUUACAAACUAUCUUACUAACAUUCCUUCGUAACCUUGCAAUUUAUAAAUCAGUUUUUGAUUGCAGUUUGUGUUUCAUUAUUUUCACGAAUUCAGUACUACAUGAUAUCGCUUUUUUUAUGAAAAUUUAGCAUCCUUAUGAAUUGAAUGUUAUCCGUUAAAUUUUCCACUUUCACAGGUAAAAUGUUGUUAUGCAAGACUUAAAAAGUACGCAGAGAUAUUUGAAAAUUUUGAAGGUAAGAUAUAGCUUUGCAUCGUUGCUGAUUCCGAUGCAGAGCGAUCGUCCAUUGGAGCUGCUUUUAACCCUCUUUUGCGAUAUCUUAAUCCUCGUUCCAUUGUUGAAAUCGAAGCAGCCUUACGCCUAUCGCGCAAAAUUGUGCGCGGCCGGUCGUCGCGUCUUCGACUGUUUAUGUUUUGUUUUUUUUUUCUUGCUUUGCCGCUCACUGCUGCCCGCUGUGUGUGACUCCCCCAUCUCUUAUCGCAGGAAACCUCAGUCGUCUGUUGCCUUUUUACGCGCGCACGUAUAAUAGGCAGUGCCCAUAACAAAGUGUCGAACUGCGUCGAGUGCAGCAUCAGCAUAAUUUUCUCGUUUCUUUGUGCGUAUUAUUCAUAUAGCGUUUGAUUAAGAAUCCGCAUCUCGAUCGUCUAGGUGCAGAUUAUUAAUCCUCUCUCUGUCUCUCUCUCUCUCUGCGUGUGCCGGGUGUCGAAUUUUGAUCGAGUCGAAGCGCAAAAAAGAAAAUAGAACAGAAGAAUGUCGUCGCCGCUGAGGACGCGUAGCAGCUACGGUCGCGACGACAGCAUCAAGACGUCCAAGGAGCUCGUCGGGAAGUGUCUUCAACUCGCCCAGGAGGCGGAAAAAGUCACCGAGUGUCCGCUGUGCCUCGAGCCGGUCAGGGAGAACGUCCAGUGUCGCACGGGCCACAUCAUCUGCAAGGACUGCCGCCAGAAGGUCGACCAGUGCCCCAGCUGUCGGGGCCCCUACGUCGGCACCAAGUGCUUCCUCGUCGACGAGGUCACGGAGAAACUGGACUCGGUCAAGAUCUCGCUGGAGGACCUCGACAGGUCGCUGAACGAGCCCAACUCCGCCGACCGAGUCCUCGAGUAUCGCAAGCUGAUCAAGUCGCUGCUCGGCGAGCUCGCCGACUUCCUCGGCAAGACGAGCAAGUGCCUGGAGCGCCUCGACGAUUAUGUGCACCGUCGGUCGUGGUCCGCGCAGCAGCAGCCGGAGCAACUCGACGACGAUCUCUUCCCGGCUCUGAUCGAGCAGCUCAACGGCAUACGCAUCCUCAUGACGGGCACGUUGGACGAGCUCGAGACUCUGAAAAAGUGAAGAUUCGUCGAACAUCGACGUCGUCUUUGCGUCGAUUAUUGUACUGCUUGAUCCAAUUAGGUUUCGGCAAUUUGUAUAUAAACACAGCGCGCGACAGUUACUAAGUUUCGCUCGUCUAGCGAGGCACGCGCGCGUCAAUCUCGA